GAGCAGACCGCGUGAGGGAGGAAGGCUCUUGGGUUGUAAACCUCUUUUCUUUGGGAAGAAGCUCUGACGGUACCAAAGGAAUCAGCAUCGGCUAACUCCGUGCCAGCAGCCGCGGUAAUACGGAGGAUGCAAGCGUUAUCCGGAAUCAUUGGGCGUAAAGCGUCCGCAGGUGGUUUAGCAAGUCGGCUGUCAAAAGUCACAGCUUAACUGUGAACAGGCGGUGGAAACUGCCAAACUAGAGUGCGGUAGGGGUAGAGGGAAUUCCCGGUGUAGCGGUGAAAUGCGUAGAGAUCGGGAAGAACACCAGUGGCGAAAGCGCUCUGCUGGGCCUGCACUGACACCGAGGGACGAAAGCUAGGGGAGCGAAUGGGAUUAGAUACCCCAGUAGUCCUAGCCGUAAACGAUGGAGACUAGGCGUGGCGCGUAUCGACCCGCGCCGUGCCGGAGCUAACGCGUUAAGUCUCCCGCCUGGGGAGUACGCACGCAAGUGUGAAACUCAAAGGAAUUGACGGGGGCCCGCACAAGCGGUGGAGUAUGUGGUUUAAUUCGAUGCAACGCGAAAAACCUUACCAGGGCUUGACAUGUCCGGAAUCUGGGGGAAACCCUGGAGUGCCUAAGGGAGCCGGAACACAGGUGGUGCAUGGCUGUCGUCAGCUCGUGUCGUGAGAUGUUGGGUUAAGUCCCGCAACGAGCGCAACCCUCGUUCUUAGUUGCCAUCAUUCAGUUGGGAACUCUAAGAAGACUGCCGGUGACAAACCGGAGGAAGGUGGGGAUGACGUCAAGUCAGCAUGCCCCUUACGUCCUGGGCGACACACGUACUACAAUGCUUCGGACAAAGGGCAGCCAAGCCGCAAGGCCGAGCAAAUCCCACAAACCGAGGCCAAGUUCAGAUCGCUCUCUGCAACUCGAGAGCGUGAAGGCGGAAUCGCUAGUAAUCGCCGGUCAGCAUACGGCGGUGAAUACGUUCCCGGGCCUUGUACACACCGCCCGUCACACCAUGGGAGUGGGCCACGCCCGAAGUCGUUACUCCAACCAUUCGUGGAGGAGGACGCCGAAGGUGGGGCUGAUGACUGGGGUGAAGUCGUAACAAGGUAGCCGUACCGGAAGGUG
rnacentral:rRNA from 1 species